GCCUGGCUGGCUUAGUUGGUAGAGCAUGUAAUGCUUGAUCUCAAGGUUGUGAGUUCAACUCCCAUGCCGGGUG
rnacentral:tRNA from 1 species